ACGGGUGAGUAACACGUGGGUAACCUGCCCUAUAGACUGGGAUAACUCGCGGAAACGCGUGCUAAUACCGGAUAACACAUCAAAGUGCAUGCUUUGAUGUUGAAAGAUGGUUCUGCUAUCACUAUAGGAUGGGCCCGCGGCGCAUUAGCUUGUUGGUGGGGUAACGGCCUACCAAGGCGACAAUGCGUAACCGACCUGAGAGGGUGAUCGGCCACACUGGGACUGAAACCCGGCCCAAACACCAACGGGAGGCGGCGGAAGGAAAUCUUCC
rnacentral:rRNA from 1 species